rnacentral:ncRNA from 2 species
UGGUGCCUUUUGGUACUGUGGAUAGGGGUACGGUUUUCCACCGUACCGAAACCUAGCAGAGGGCCAGUCUGGUGCCAGCAGCUGCGGUAAUUCCAGCUCUGCGAGUUUGCUCCCAUAUUGUUGCAGUUAAAACGCCCGUAGUCUGAAUUGGCCAGCAAUGGUCGUACGUAUUUUUACGUUCACUGUGAACAAAUCAGGACGCUUAGAGUAUGGCCACAUGAAUGACUCAGCGCAGUAUGAAGUCUUUGUUUUCUUCCGAAAACAAGCUCAAUGAGAGCCAUCGGGGGUAGAUCUAUCUCAUGACGAGUGGUGGAAUACUUUGACUCAUGAGAGAGAAGCUGAGGCGAAGGCGUCUACCUAGAGGGUUUCUGUCGAUCAAGGGCGAGAGUAGGAGUAUCCAACAGGAUUAGAGACCCUGGUAGUUCCUACCUUAAACGAUGCCGACAGGAGUUUGUCAUUUGUUAAUGGCAGAAUCUUUGGAGAAAUCAUAGUUCUUGGGCUCUGGGGGAACUACGACCGCAAGGCUGAAACUUGAAGGAAUUGACGGAAGGGCACACCAGGGGUGGAGCCUGUGGCUUAAUUUGAAUCAACACGGGGAAACUUACCAGGACCAGAUGUUUUUUAUGACUGACAGGCUUCGGGUCUUUCAGGAUAUUGUUUUUGGUGGUGCAUGGCCGUUGGUGGUGCGUGGGUUGACCUGUCUAGCGUUGAUUCAGCUAACGAGCGAGAUUAUCGCCAAUUAUUUACUUUGCCGAAGUCCUUCGGUUAAAGUUCUAAUUGGGACUCCCUGCGAUUUUAGCAGGUGGAAGAGGGUAGCAAUAACAGGUCCGUGAUGCCCUUUAGAUGCUCUGGGCUGCACGCGUGCUACAAUGUUAGGAAAAAUAGGACUGCGA